UUGCAGCCAUAUCACAUUGAAAUAUCUGGUCCCGUGCGAUCAACGAAGUUAAGCAGCGUCUAAGCUGCUCAGUAUCUAGAUGGGUGACCACAUGGGAAGACUAGGUGCUGUAAG